GGAAUAUUUGUGUCCUCUUGGGUGGGUUCAACUGUCUUCUGGAUUGGAGAAUGGUUUAUAAAGAAAAUGCCAUUUGUAAGGCACAUAUACUCAGCGUCAAAGCAAGUUAGUACUGCUGUUUCACCAGAUCAAAAUACAACAGCAUUUAAAGAGGUAGCGAUUAUUAGCCAUCCCCGUGUUGGAGAAUAUGCAUUUGGAUUCAUAACAUCAACCAUGGUUCUUCAGAAGCAUGCAUCUGAAGAUUCAUUCCAUUAUAUUUUGUGUUCUCGUUCUCUUGUGUUUAAG